rnacentral:rRNA from 1 species
AUUGAACGCUGGCGGCAGGCUUAACACAUGCAAGUCGAGCGGUAACAGAGAGAAGCUUGCUUCUCUGCUGACGAGCGGCGGACGGGUGAGUAAUGCCUAGGAAUCUGCCUAGUAGUGGGGGAUAACUUGCCGAAAGGUAAGCUAAUACCGCAUACGUCCUACGGGAGAAAGGAGGGGACCUUCGGGCCUUUCGCUAUGAGAUGCGCCUAGGUCGGAUUAGUUAGUUGGUGGGGUAAUGGCUCACCAAGACCGCGAUCCGUAACUGGUCUGAGAGGAUGAUCAGUCACACUGGAACUGAGACACGGUCCAGACUCCUACGGGAGGCAGCAGUGGGGAAUAUUGGACAAUGGGGGGAACCCUGAUCCAGCCAUGCCGCGUGUGUGAAGAAGGUCUUAGGAUUGUAAAGCACUUUAAGUUGGGAGGAAGAGCAGUUAACUAAUAUUUGACUGUUUUGACGUUACCGACAGAAUAAGCACCGGCUAACUUCGUGCCAGCCGCCGCGGUAA